UAAAACGUUCAUAGUUGAUUGUGUACUUCAUACGGAUAAGGUAGCUAUAAUUUAUAGUCUACAUUUAUGCCAUAUGUAUGUAAGCAUAUUAUCGGUGGAGUUAUUAUAUAUGAAAUAUUAUUUUUUCAUAUAUUACUCCUAAAUAAAACUCGCAUCAAUGCUUUUAAUCGAGUGUUGUUGUGGGCCGAUACAAUUACUUUGAACAAAUUAGAGUGCUUAAAGCAGGCUUAAAAUGCCUUGAAUAUUCUGUGCAUGGGAUAAUGAAAUAAGACCUCUGUUCUAUUUCCAUUGGUAUUUUAGAUCAAGAGGUAAUGAUUAAUAGAAGCAGUUUGGGGGCAUUAGUAUUACGACGCGAGAGGUGAAAUUCUUAGACCGUCGUAAGACUAACUUAAGCGAAAGCAUUUGCCAAAGAUGUUUUCAUUAAUCAAGAACGAAAGUUAGAGGUUCGAAGGCGAUCAGAUACCGCCCUAGUUCUAACCAUAAACGAUGCCAGCUAGCAAUUGGGUGUAGCUAAUUAUAUGGCUCUCUCAGUAGCUUCCCGGGAAACCAAAGCUUUUGGGCUCCGGGGGAAGUAUGGUUGCAAAGCUGAAACUUAAAGGAAUUGACGGAAGGGCACCACCAGGAGUGGAGCCUGCGGCUUAAUUUGACUCAACACGGGAAAACUUACCAGGUCCGAACAUAAGCGUGUAAGACAGAUUAAUAGCUCUUUCUCGAAACUAUGGGUGGUGGUGCAUGGCCGUUCUUAGUUCGUGGAGUGAUUUGUCUGGUUAAUUCCGAUAACGAACGAGACUCAAAUAUAUUAAAUAGAUGCUUUCAGGAUUAUGGUGCCGAAACUUUUAUUACCUUCAAAUAUAAAUACGGUAAUACGUAUUAAUAUAUUUGUUUAGUGUUUAUAAAAGUGGAGCCGUACCUGAUGGUUUGUCUCAUUAAUGAGAGGCACUAGCUUCUUAAAUGGACAAAUUGCGUCUAGCAAUAAUGAGAUUGAGCAAUACAGNG
rnacentral:rRNA from 1 species